AAAUUUCUAAAAAAAAC
rnacentral:sRNA from 1 species